rnacentral:rRNA from 1 species
UACGUAGGGCGCAAGCGUUGUCCGGAAUUAUUGGGCGUAAAGAGCUCGUAGGCGGUUUGUUGCGUCGGCUGUGAAAUCCCGAGGCUCAACCUCGGGUCUGCAGUCGAUACGAGCAAACUAGAGUGUUGCAGGGGAGACUGGAAUUCCUGGUGUAGCGGUGAAAUGCGCAGAUAUCAGGAGGAACACCGGUGGCGAAGGCAGGCUCUGGUCGGAACAG